UACGAAGGGGGCUAGCGUUGCUCGGAAUCACUGGGCGUAAAGGGUGCGUAGGCGGGUUUUUAAGUCAGAGGUGAAAUCCUGGAGCUCAACUCCAGAACUGCCUUUGAUACUGAAAGUCUUGAGUAUGGGAGAGGUGAGUGGAACUGCGAGUGUAGAGGUGAAAUUCGUAGAUAUUCGCAAGAACACCAGUGGCGAAGGCGGCUCACUGGCCCAUAACUGACGCUGAGGCACGAAAGCGUGGGGAGCAAAAGGG
rnacentral:rRNA from 1 species